GACGAACGCUGGCGGCGUGCUUAACACAUGCAAGUCGAACGGAAAGGCCCUGCUUUUGUGGGGUGCUCGAGUGGCGAACGGGUGAGUAACACGUGAGUAACCUGCCCUUGACUUUGUGAUAACUUCAGGAAACUGGGGCUAAUACCGGAUAGGAGCUCCUGCUGCAUGGUGGGGGUUGGAAAGUUUCGGCGGUUGGGGAUGGACUCGCGGCUUAUCAGCUUGUUGGUGGGGUAGUGGCUUACCAAGGCUUUGACGGGUAGCCGGCCUGAGAGGGUGACCGGCCACAUCGGGACUGAGAUGAGGCACAGACUCGUACGGGAGGCAGCGGUGGGGAGUAUUGUACAAUGGGAGGAAGGCUGAUGCAGCAACGCCGCGUGCGGGAAGACGGGCUUCGGGUUGUAAACCGCUUUCGCCUGAGACGAAGAGUGAGUGACGGUACCGGGUGAAGAAGCACCGGCUAACUACGUG
rnacentral:rRNA from 1 species